AAAUCAGAAUAGAGUAUAAAUACAAAUAGACCCAAAACCAUAAAUAUUCCCUUCCUUUGUUAGAAGUAGAUAGGUACACAUAAGAUUUGGAAAACAACUGACCUGUGCGUCGGUACUAGCAUAAGUAUAAAUAGAAGUAUUUUGAAAAAGAAUAAUCAGAAUAAAUUGCCCACUGAGCGCAGAGCACCGCGUUUAAUCAUUUAUUUAAAUAGCGCCCAACGAGUUUUUGUAAGUCUGUUCCCAAAAUCCUUAUGUCAGGAUAAUAGAACAGCACCCUAAAAAAAAAAAAAAAAAUUAAGUGAAGUCGAAAAAUCGUGCAUCGGGAAGAAAAAAGAGGUCAACAAUCCCACGCCAAGGACAAUCGGGAAGAAAAAAGAAGUCAACAAUUCCACGCCAGGACAACGGGACAUGAAGCUGUACUUAAUGUAAGCAUACCUAUUAUCUAAGAGAAUAAA